UAAGCGGAGGAAAAGAAACUAACAAGGAUUCCCCUAGUAACUGCGAGUGAAGCGGGAAAAGCUCAAAUUUAAAAUCUGGUGGUCUUUGGCCAUCCGAGUUGUAAUUUAGAGAAGUGUCUUCCGCGCUGGACCGUGCACAAGUCUCCUGGAAUGGAGCGUCAUAGAGGGUGAGAAUCCCGUCUUUGGCAUGGACACACCAGGGCUUUUGUGAUGCGCUCUCGAAGAGUCGAGUUGUUUGGGAAUGCAGCCCAAAAUGGGUGGUGAACUCCAUCUAAAGCUAAAUAUUGGCGAGAGACCGAUAGCGAACAAGUACCGUGAGGGAAAGAUGAAAAGCACUUUGGAAAGAGAGUGAAACAGUACGUGAAAUUGUUGAAAGGGAAACGCUUGAAGUCAGUCACGUCGACCGAGACUCAGCCUUGCCUCGGCUUGGUGUACUUCUCGGCUGACGGGUCAGCAUCAAUUUUGCCCCUUGGAUAAUGGCGAGGGAAAUGUGACACCUUUAUGGUGUGUUAUAGUCUCUCGUCGCAUGCAAGGGUUGGGAUUGAGGAACUCAGCACGCGCCUUUUGGUGUCGGGGCUUUGCCCACGAUACGUGCUUAGGAUGUUGGCAUAAUGGCUUUAAACGACC
rnacentral:rRNA from 1 species